rnacentral:rRNA from 1 species
UACGUAGGGGGCGAGCGUUGUCCGGAUUUAUUGGGCGUAAAGAGCGUGUAGGCGGUUCGGUAAGUCUGUCGUGAAAUCCUGAGGCUCAACCUCGGACGUGCGAUUGAUACUGCCGGGCUAGAGGAUGGUAGAGGCGAGUGGAAUUCCCGGUGUAGCGGUGAAAUGCGUAGAUAUCGGAAGGAACAUCAGUGGCGAAAGCGGCUUCCUGGACCAGUACCGACGUUCAGGCACGAAAGCGUGGGGAGCAAACAGG